ensembl:miRNA Mir8113 microRNA 8113
GAAAUUCAUACCCUGUGAGUGAGUCUCGGGGGUCUCAGGAGAGUCAGGGGCAAGUAGACACCCCAGGUCUCUAAAGAUCUGUGGUGUCCUGUUUCUCCUGGCUCUCCUCUCUCCCAAGGUUUUCUUAUC